rnacentral:rRNA from 1 species
GACGAACGCUGGCGGCGUGCCUAAUACAUGCAAGUAGAACGCUGAAGGAGGAGCUUGCUCUUCUGGAUGAGUUGCGAACGGGUGAGUAACGCGUAGGUAACCUGCCUGGUAGCGGGGGAUAACUAUUGGAAACGAUAGCUAAUACCGCAUAACAGUAGAUGUUGCAUGACAUUUACUUAAAAGGUGCAAUUGCAUCACUACCAGAUGGACCUGCGUUGUAUUAGCUAGUUGGUGGGGUAACGGCUCACCAAGGCGACGAUACAUAGCCGACCUGAGAGGGUGAUCGGCCACACUGAGACUGUGACACGGCCCAGACUCCUACGGGAGGCAGCAGUAGGGAAUCUUCGGCAAUGGACGGAAGUCUGACCGAGCAACGCCGCGUGAGUGAAGAAGGUUUUCGGAUCGUAAAGCUCUGUUGUAAGAGAAGAACGAGUGUGAGAGUGGAAAGUUCACACUGUGACGGUAUCUGACCAGAAAGGGACGGCUAACUACGUG